AUGGUUUCCAUGGCAACCACCAGCUUGGGCCAUUUAACCAGCAGUGACUUCAUUUCCCAGGUCAGGGCUGGCUGGGUCCUUGUCUCAUAUUCUGUUACACAGCCGGGGCCAUCGCCACAGCUCCGUCAGGGAGUUUCCGCCUCAGUUGAAUGCUGGUCAGACUUUCCCACCAUUGCCCACUCCACGAGCCUUCUCUGGCCUGGACCUCAUACCAUUUCUUCUUCCCAAAGACCACGAUUGCCUGAGUUCAGCGGAUGGAGACGUGCUGCUGAUAUGAGGGAUUCCCUAGGAAAUUUCGUAAUCUGGAAGUCCAAGGUUACAGCACUCCUCUGACAAAUGCUUCCCUCUCGGGGAAGGAAAAGUGUUCCCAGUAACCGUGACUCCCACAGCCCAGAUCUCACGCUUAUCGGUUUUGGGCGAUGGUGUCAGUCUCGCUUCAGCGGAAGCAUCUUAUUCCCCUGAGACAGUGGGAGCAGUGCUUGAUCCCCCACUAGAGAUAACCGUGGAGAGGUGCUGUCGGACAUGCCGGGAAUUCUAAGUGAAACAGCCAUGCACAGAACCCUCAAGAGAGAGGAGGCCUCAGUUCCAACCUAAAGAACGUGAUGGAUGAUCCGCGCAAAGGUGUCCUCACCAGGCAAGAUUCUUAAUUGCACGCGUGUGAGGGGCGUGGUUGGGCUGGUGCAGAGGGACACGGGCGCUUCACUCCACGCACACUUUGAAAGGGCUCACGGUCACAGCCCAGCCUUCAGCUGUUCGUAUCUUUAAGGCAUCAGUGUGACUCAGGGUGAGCAGUCUGUGCCAAGGCAUUCCUCAGGGGCCUGGAGCACUGCAGGCAUGGCCUGCCUUUGUCACAGGCAGUGACAUGCGUGGAAAAAAAGAGCUGCAGAAAUGGGAGAGAGAAGAGAGCCAAGGAAAGUCCGCCCAGCUGUGGAGAAAGUGAGAGGGAGGCUAACAGUAAAACGCGUGUCCCAGUGCUGGCACUGUUGCUCUUCCCAUGUGCAGGCCUGUCUCCUCACUGAGUAGGACCAGGUAGCUCGAUGUCUGCAUCCCAGAGCAAGCUCCUCUCUCCCCAGAUCACAAUUCUUUGGGAUACAGCCCAAACUUGCUUCUAAUCCACAUUCUGCGUCCUCACUCUGGGUACCUUUCCAGGCGCUUCUCAUACCAUAAGCAAUGCGUGUCUGCCCCACAAACAUACCUAUCCCUGGUGACACCUGGGCCCUGCAGUGUGCUUCCUUUUCCUGUAAUGUCCUUCCGUACCCUCCUCUGGCCAGUGCCUCUUCUUCGAGACCUCACCUCCUCCGCGACGCCUGCCCCGACUCUCCUGGUUCCUCCUCUGUGUCCCAUGGGCUCCGCGGGAUGCUCCCGGGCUACAAUCACUCAUCACUACGACGGCCUCCCCACGGAAGCGCGCCUUUGUUACGCGGGUCCCCUCGGCCAGACCCUGCGCCCACUGUUCCCGGCGGGCCCUAAAGCCCUUCCCGCCUGCGGUUCACGCUGACGCCACGGCCCGGGUCCUGACUUCCCACCCCAACCCCCUCCACGGCCUGGGCCUCAUCCUAGACCUGGGGCUGGGUAUCUUUCCUCCAGGAUUAAGCACAAAUUUUCGUUCCUGUUGGUGUCCCCCUUUGGUUGUAAUUACCCUGGGCUUCUCCAGGUGACAACUGUGUUCGCUGCAAUCUGGCUCCAGCGCUGCCUCCUCUUCCUCCCGGCGGCCUGACCCCAGGCAGAAGCGGGCUCCACCGCAUGCCGGCCCUAAGGGUGGAAAUAGCGCCGUAUCUUUGUGCGCGACCCGCACAAUGCCUGGCACGCGGGUGGGAGUCAGUGUUCACUGGAUAGUGAAUAAAUAAACCCCGAUGCUCGCGCGCGAUGAUUUA
rnacentral:lncRNA from 1 species